UACGUAGGGGGCAAGCGUUGUCCGGAAUUAUUGGGCGUAAAGAGCGUGUAGGCGGUCCGGUAAGUCGGCUGUGAAAAUCCAGGGCUCAACCCUGGGAUGCCGGUCGAUACUGGUGGACUAGAGUCCGGAAGAGGCGAGUGGAAUUCCCGGUGUAGCGGUGAAAUGCGCAGAUAUCGGGAGGAACACCAAUGGCGAAGGCAGCUCGCUGGGACGGUACUGACGCUGAGACGCGAAAGCGUGGGGAGCAAACAGG
rnacentral:rRNA from 1 species